rfam:Wickerhamomyces anomalus NRRL Y-366-8 unplaced genomic scaffold WICANscaffold_3, whole genome shotgun sequence.
GACUCCGUGGCCAAGCUGGUUAAGGCGUGUGACUGUUAAUCACAAGAUCGACAGUUCGAUCCUGUCCGGGGUCG